AUUUGGGUGCAACGCAAGCACCUUCAGCUCGGCAAGUAGGACAAUACAUGCGACACGGUCACUUCUGCUUCCUGUCUAUCGUCAAACCACUGGUGUUGGUCUCAAGCAUGGAUUACACUUGAAGCCCAUGCGAUCUCCACAGUCUUGGCAGCAUUGUGGGAACCCCCUACCAUAUCAGGAGCUGUUACAGAGGGCUGAGGCAGUGGCCAGACACCCCACUUCAGAUUAAUGGAGGACACUUGAAUCAGGUUAUAUCAACUGUUUUGGUGAACCCCUCCCGCAUCUGAACUGGCUGACACAGAGGGCACAGCAUGAUCAUAGAUGAGAUGUUACUUGGUCAGGUCAACAGGAAGUUGCUUUACAUUGAAAUACAGACAGAGAUGUAGUAGUCCCAGAGUUAAUGAUCCAAGGUAUGUCAUCGCCACCUCACCCGCUCUUAAGAUAACCUUCGGGCCAGCUGGGGGCCCAAGACUGGUUAGGAGACACCGCAAUUGUGAUGAACUGAGAGAAUAUUAGGGUAGCACUGUAAAUUCAUCAGUUAUUCUCAGUCACACUCUGACGAGAGUGCUCUGAAAUCGGAGUAGAUAGCCAGACUGAAUUUACGAACGCACCAGAAAUUGUUCCUUGUAUAGUGGAGACUUUUGUUAAGACAUGUAGCUAGCUAAACAACGAACCAUAAUCACAACUCAUGACGUUACUACCCUGCAUGAAUCUGCAGGUAGCUAACCUGCAGAUUCUACUAAAGGACAUCAAUGUUAGCCAGCCAAGCAAAUGGCUCUGAGAUAAUAAGAUCAGACAAAUGACGUUAAUUAGUAAGCCAGCCAGCUAAUGUUAGCUAGCUAACAGUACACUUUAACAUGAAAUUAAACCACUUUCUUACCCAUAUACAUCAUAGAUGGGCGCGUCUCCUGACAGGGAUGCCAUGGUUGCCCUUAGUUAGAAGAUGUAAUCCGGAGACAAGUGUUUUCUGCAUCUCCUUAG
rnacentral:lncRNA from 1 species